CCUGUGCAGCAUUGCUUCAACAUAAAAAUCCCUUAUUAAUGUUGUGUUACUCUUCCACUUCCCUUUUAUUUCCAAGAUCUUCCCUUUCACCCCAGUGCAGUCGCAGACCAUUGUGACUACGCCUGGUUCUGUUGUUCUAAGGAAGUCCUCCACUGAACUUGGUGGGUUGAUUGCAGGGAGAGGCUCCUCCGUGCUCCUGAGAGGCCGAACACAGGGUCGCCAGCACAGCUUACUGCUCGGUGUCUCCUGAGCCACAGAGGAAGACGUGGCAGGAGCACCUGGUGCUAAUAUAUAUUCAUGUCUAUGGCAAUGCCGACCAUCUGGCUGGUCUGAACCAGGAUAAAAGUGAAGAAUUCCUCUGUGAAGACCCAGCUCUUUCUUUGGCUCCUUUUUUGAAGCCAUCUUUGCUCUGCUCUCCUCUGCUGCCCAGAAAGUUCCAGAGUGAAGCUCAGCUCUAGAUGAACAAAAACUGGUUGAGUCCAGAGAUGCCUGAGUUGGAGAUGAACCUUGCAAACUUUCCUCAUUACCAUACUAAAAACCCCACCCAGGAAGGAGCUUAUCUGCCAUUUCCUACACAUGUGACAUAUGGAGAAGCAUGAUCAGCUACUUCACAGUCUCUGCCUUUACUCUGCCUCCGCAUACAAUGGCUCAGCCAACUAGCCUAACGAAAGCUGUUUUCACCAUUGUUUGGGAGGUACUGCUUUGGGAAACUGCCCCAGCUGUCCUCCUUACUUGUUGUAGGUAAUAAAAUCCC
rnacentral:lncRNA from 1 species